rnacentral:rRNA from 1 species
UACAGGGGGUGCAAACGUUGCUCGGAAUCAUUGGGCGUAAAGCGCACGUAGGCGGUUCGUUAAGUCGGAUGUGAAAGCCCUCGGCUCAACUGAGGAAGUGCACCCGAAACUGGCGAGCUUGAGUACGAAAGAGGAUCGCGGAAUUCCCGGUGUAGAGGUGAAAUUCGUAGAUAGUCGGGGAGGAACACCGGGUGGCGAAGGCGGCGAAUCUGGGUCGAUACUGACGCGUGAGGUGGCGAAAGCGUGGGGAGCGAACAGG